rnacentral:rRNA from 1 species
AUUGAACGCUGGCGGCAGGCCUACCCCAUGCAAGUCGAACGAGUGGCGGACGGGUGAGUAAUGUCUGGGAAACUGCCCGAUGGAGGGGGAUAACUACUGGAACCGGUAGCUAAUCCCGCAUACCAUCGGAUGUGCCCAGAUGGGAUUAGCUCGUAGGUGGGGUAACGGCUCACCUAGGCGACGAGCCCUAGCUGGUCUGAGAGGAGGACCAGCCACAAUGGAACUGAGACACGGUCCAGACGCCUAAGGGAGGCAGCAGGGGGGAAUAUUGCACAAUGGGCGCAAGCCUGAGGCAGCCAUGCCGCGUGUAUGAAGAAGGCCUUCGGGUUGUAAAGUACUUUCAGCGAGGAGGCGUUACUCGCAGAAGAAGCACCGGCUAACGCCGUGCCAGCAGCCGCGGUAAUAC